UGUUAGCUGCGCCCUCGGAUCGAAAUGU
rnacentral:sRNA from 1 species